UACGGAGGUCUCAACCGUUGUUCGGAUUUAUUGGGCGUAAAGGGUGCGUAGGCGGUCGGGUAAGUCGGAUGUGAAAUCCCAGGGCUCAACCCUGGAACUGCAUUCGAUACUGCCUGGCUUGGGUACUGGAGAGGAGACUGGAAUUUACGGUGUAGCAGUGAAAUGCGCAGAUAUCAGGAGGAACACCGGUGGCGAAGGCGGGUCUCUGGGCCGAUACUGACGCUGAGAAGCGAAAGCGUGGGGAGCGAACAGG
rnacentral:rRNA from 1 species